rnacentral:rRNA from 1 species
GGGUUGUGAGGUUAAGCGACUAAGCGUACACGGUGGAUGCCCUGGCAGUCAGAGGCGAUGAAGGGCGUGCUAAUCUGCGAUAAGCGCCGGUAAGGUGAUAUGAACCGUUAUAACCGGCGAUACCCGAAUGGGGAAACCCAGUGUGAUUCGUCACACUAUCAUUAACUGAAUUCAUAGGUUAAUGAGGCGAACCGGGGGAACUGAAACAUCUAAGUACCCCGAGGAAAAGAA